UUUUCCCCUCUUCCUAGCUCUCUGCUUAUCCCUGUAUCUAGAGAAGGGCGAGAGGGCUCCCCAUUUGCUACUCGUCUGCUAGGCUGUGCUCUAGUGUGUGUGUGUCAGUUGGUUGUUAACUAGUCACUAUUGUUGUUGUUGUUGUAUGCUUGUCAGAAUGCAUGGGUGUGUGUGUGUGUGUGUGGGUGGGUGUGUUUGUGUGUGAGGGUGCAUGAGUGAUGGCGUGCCUGCGGGGGACUGACUCCAUCCUCAGGCUUUCCUUGCUCCCUGUGAGGAGACUUCCAAUACUCCAAGGAAUGGUACGCCUGUACACAAACGAUGAGCAAUUGCUGUCCAUCCUGGGAAAGUCGCUUGCGCAUGUGGCAAAAGGGAUAUUUUCUCUUGUCUAUUUCUCCUUGCUUUCAAAACACGCAAUAAAUCAUUUCAGCUCUCUCUGCAACUGCCCUCUCAGGAGAGCGAGGCUGGCUGCUAAAGAUCACUCUCCGUCAAAUAGCUUCAUCACCGACAUGCCAACCUGGGCCAACGUGCAUCUCUCCUUUUCUCUACCCUUUUCUCUCAUGUCCAUAUGUCUUCCACUCUCCACUACCACCCUUUUUCUCCUGCGUGUGCAGGCUGCGUGACUGGAGCGGUGGAGCAGCUACGGGGGGAGAGCAGAAGAGAGAGAUUCCAUACUCUGAUUAUCUCCCUUUCUGCAUCUCUUUCUUUUGUUUGCCCCAUACAGACAUCCUCGACUGGGCUUUUGGAUGCCUGAUCUGACUGCUCCUCUCAUUUCUCUUCCCAGUCUCUCCCCCCAAUUCCUCUCCAUCAUCUGAGAUGUGGCCCUAGGUGAGGGCUGUGAGUGAGGAGGUGUGCGAUUUCGCCUGUCUCCCCCCCCUGGGGAGCCGUUUGGCAAGCAGGGGUUGUGGGAGGGAGAGGAUUUAAAACGGCACCACUCACACACACACACAAAACACAACCACAAUAAGUGGCUGCAGGUUGGUGACUCGCGUGGGCCAGCAGCAUGGGCACCACUGUCUUCACCAUUGAGGAGGUGCGGGCGUUGGAGGACAAGGAGGAGCGCGAGGAGUCCAUCCUGGCCAUGCUUGGCAUCAUUGGCACCUUCCUCAACCUCUUUGUCGUCGUCUUCGUCUAUAUCUACACCACCCUCUGAGGUUUAGCAGGAAGAAAAGGAACAGCAGGAAGAAUGAGGAGAAGAGUGGGUGUGUGUGUGUGUAUGUGUGUGUGUGUGUGCGCAGUCCUGUGAGCCCAUGGAGGCUUCUGAGAAACUUCAUGAACUUGACUACCCCUCCACGAGGCUGAGGAGGUGUACAGGCAACGAUGUGUGAGGGACUGGACGUGGGUGGUGAGGAGGAGAAGGAGGAGGACUGGCCAUCUGGGGUUACUGUGGGGAGAUAACACUGGGACGCUUGCGGACCAAACUGACAGACUGGUUUUUGGAGGGCAAGCAUCAGGGCGUAACCAUGAUCGGGCGUCUGCACGCCAGCGUAUCCCGUAAAGAUAUCCCAAAAAGUUGUGGAUGGACAAAACGGUCUGAUGGGGAUAUGGGUAAAGACUGCACUGUGCCUGAAAUGGAGUCGUGUGCAGAGAAUGCGACGGAUGGAUGGCACAGUUGCUGAGGGACCUCUUGUGGCUUCUCAAGCUGCUCAGUGUGACACUAGAGGGAGGCUUGUGGCCACCAACAGGAGGCCAUUUUCAAGAGACCUGCUCUGGAACGUGUGGAAUCAAUAUUUUCAGGGGGGCUGGCUUUCUCACAGCUCAUUGGCUGUCAGAGCUCGCGUUUCCCCGGCAACGUGGCUUCGGAGCAGCGGUGACGUUCUCUGCUUCCAUCCGGCACGCACUCUCCCACACACACACACACACACACACACACACAAAUGGCUUCACUUUCCAUGCCUUGGAGGAUCUCGGGAAUGAAUUGACAACAUUCUUCAUGUGCUGAUCAUCCAGGGAUGUUUCAAAUGACGGAUCAUUUCUAUUUUUUCUCCUCACCUACAAGGGGUGAUGCUGAGGAGCAUAGGGAUGGACAUCUGCAAUAAAAAUUUUAAUUGCGCAGAGGAAAAAAAAAAAGAGAAAUAUUUUUAUACGACAACAAGGAAGAACCUGAGCCGUAGUGAUUAAAUCGUCAUGAGGAUGAAACAGAGAACUAGGACAACACAUUUUAAAGAGGGACCUUUCAAAAAACAACAACCAACAACAACAAAAAACACUCUGUGUUGCUGUAAUUUAUGUAAACAGGAGCAAACUAACACAUCUUCUGUCUUUUUGCAUCUCUUACCACCUUCUAUUUGAUUGUUGAGGGGGGAAGGGGAAGUGGGUGGGAGAAAUCAAAUAAUCUCAUAAAGUAUUCAUACAGUUGUUCUUCAGGGUAGUGUCAGCAGAACACUUUCUGUAUUCAAAGAAAGGCUUUUUCUAAAUAUAUAUAAAUACAAACACUAGAUGUAAUACUGUGCAAUAGGGGAAUUUGAACAAUAAAAUUGAAAAUGUAUCGAUAA